AACAAAAACAUGUCUUUUUGAUUAUAAUUUAAAGUCUAACCUGCCCAAUGAAUUAUUUGAAUGGCCGCGGUAUUUUGACCGUGCUAAGGUAGCAUAAUAAUUAGUUUUUUAAUUGAAAACUGGUAUGAAUGGUUGAACGAGGAAAAAACUGUCUCAAUUUAAUUUAAUUAGAAUUUUAUUUUUAAGUAAAAAAGCUUAAAUAUGUUUAAAAGACGAGAAGACCCUAUAGAGUUUGAUAUUUUAUUAAAAAUUAAAUUAUUAUAUUUUUUUUUUAAUUUUAAUUAAAGUAUUUUAUUGGGGUGAUAAAAAAAUUGAAUAAACUUUUUUUAAAUUUUAUCAUUAAUUUAUGAAUAAGUGAUCCAUGAUUUAUGAUUAUAAGAUUAAAUUACCUUAGGGAUAACAGCGUAAUUUUUUUUGAGAGUUCAUAUCGAAAAAAGAG
rnacentral:rRNA from 1 species